GAAGUGAUGUUUUGAACUCCAUCACCUGUAACACGUUGGGGAUCAGGCUGGAGGGGUAUUUGCCUACAGGGAAAGCAGAUUAACCUUGGCUGUGCCAUGCUUCAGACCUACAGGAUCUACAAGCUGCUUACAAAGGAGAAUAAACUUUUAAGGGCGUUUAAUAAGCUGAAGCUCUAUAAAAACAUUUUCCCCCAAACAGUGGGAGUAACUGUCUAUUUGGACAGGUCACUUCAGUAUUAUCCAUCAGGAGAAAUCUCAGAGACAGGGUAUCUUCUAAAAAGCAUGCAGCAGCUCUGGCAGUCUGUGAGGCUGAUGGUGGUGCAUGUGGAUGGGGGAAGUUUUCUGGCCUCUGCCACACGCUAUGGAUGCAUCUUUGUUCUCCAUCUGGGGAAGCCGGAGACAAAAGGACUGAAAAUUUGGCCUAAAGUCAUGCUGGCAGCCAGACGUUUCCUCUGAGCCACAAGUCAUGGAAAUCGUUGUGUUACUUGCAGAGAUUUUUGUUUGGAAAGGUUUUUGUUUAAUCUUCGUUCAAGCGCUUAUUCAGCUCUGAUCCUAAAAGGUAGAAAUCUAUUUAUGGCUGUCACCAAAGUGCCUUCUCUUCAGGGUGGUAAAAAUGCAAAGCAAAUGCAAAUGGCAAAUAAAGGAUCUUCAGAUAUUGAGGUGAUAAAAUGUUAGGUAAUGUUCAAAGGUAGUAAAUACAGAGCAAUAUGUUGUUACAAAACAUUCACAAGGAUGAGCUCUUAAAUAGGCAGCAGCAAUUCAGAAAAGAGGUCUUCAGACGGUGGCAACAUCUUUGGAACACUUCCAGCCUCAGCAGCGCUCAAAAAUCAGAACAGCACGGGAGGGAUUAUUAGGCAGGAACAAACAAAUCAGAAAAUAUAUUUGGGCUUUUCUGCACAUUGACAGUGAGGCUGCAUUUUGCAUUGUGUGCAGUUCUGCUCCCCUGCCUCGGAAAGGACAGGCAGAGCUACAGAAAGGCACAGUGAAGGACAUCAGAGAUGACUAAAGAUAUGGAACAAGAUCUGUGCUAUGGAGAAAAAGACUCUUCAGCUUGGGACAGCGAUGAACAGGGAAUGAAUAUGAUGGAGGUUUGUAAAAGCAGCAGGAGCACGCAGAUGAAGUGUUAGAACUCUUCUCAUAGUGAAGAGACUACGGGGCACUAGCGAAUGAUCCAGUGGGAGGUUUUAAAGAAAGAAAAUUGAAUUUCUUCUCACAAUAUUCAUUUUAAUGCAUGGAACACGUCGCUCUAGGACUUUGUUUAUGAAAAAGCCUACAGGCAUUCGCAAAAAUGAGGGAAGAAAAGUCCUUUAAGAUGCAGCUUAGCAGUCCUGGAAAAAUGUCAUGCCACUUGUCUUAGGCAUUUGGACAGGCUGGGACAGAACACCCUCCGGAGCUGGCUGUCUUUCUCUGCUGAUUACAGGAGGAAUACCAAGAUUUGGUUCAGUCUGGAUGCGUACAUUUUGGACAGCUAAAGAAAGAUGUGAUAAUACUUCUCGUCAUCUCUGACAAAUUCUCCUUGGAAAUGACUUGGCCAAGGCUUGUAGGAAGAGAAAUUCUCUCAGCUACAAGGUGAUGAGCUCAACUGUGAUCAAGCAAGUCAGCAAGAAGCCAAGUUCUCUGGCCUAACCCUGGCUAAGCACAGGGACAGCAGUUGGUGCCCUGAAAAGAUGUGAGGCAGACCCAGAGGGGAGCAGGACAAGAUGGGGUGGUUCCAGGGGCAGGAGGGAAGAAAACAGACUGAAAACAGAACUUGGGCAAAUUCCUUCAACAGCUGGGGCUUUUGUCUCUGCACCUCCUUCCCUGUGCCUGAAAGGAGGGCAGCAAUGCUUUUUGACGUUAGCAGUAUGUUGUGAAGAUCAAGUCAAAAAAGUGACUUCUGCACUUUGCAAAGCUCCCAGAUCCUCCUGUGAUCAGUGUCCUAGAAAAGCCCCACGGGGAAUUAUUCACUUUCUGCUCAGUGCAGAGGUUUGGUGCUGUGGAGAAAAUAAGGUCUCAGCUCUCACACAGGCCACAUGUGGAAAAAUAGUGCCUUGGGGUCUUCUCAGCACCUCUGGGAGGUAGGAGACCUGCAGGAAAAAUGGAGUGCUGUUGUGUCAUGGAGUAUGGACUUGGAGCCAGGGGGAUAAGGACAGACUGGCCUUGAGGUUGUGCUGCUUACCAAGUCCUAGAGACGUGUGGUAGAACCAAGAGUGGGGAUGGCUCUGGGUCCACGUCAAGGCAUGUGGCAAGGGUGUAGGAGGAAGAGCCGUGCUCUGAAACUAGGCAUAAAUAAUGCAGCUUUUGGAAGUGGAGCACCUGCACUGGGGAUUUGUCUGAGCCAUUUCGUAACAGCUGGGUUGGGUGUGGGGCAUGGUUUUAACAGGUGGUUAAAAUACAUCCAGCACAGCCCUGAUGCCUGGUAUUUUUGAACUUUUUAGCACUUGACUUUGUGACCUUAGCAGUAAUGGAUGGGUCCUCAAUGUAAUAAAUUGAGAGGUAACAACAGAAAGGUGAGACACAUGGCAUCACCCUGAAAUGGAAACAUUUGAUUUAUACCACAGCGAAAUAGCUAGCAGGAAGGCAGCUUAUUACAAACAAAGGAAAAUGACUGGAAGGCCUUAUCCUCCAUGUAGAAUGCCAGGAACUACUUAUUACGGCUCCAACUUUCAAUACUGAAAUAGUCAGAGCCCUGGGAUUAGCAAGCUUAUUUUUCCUAGACAUUAUGCUAACAAAUAUGUCAGUUCCAUAUUACACUUCCAGCAGAAACCCAGCACAGCUCUGGCUGAGACAGGAGAAGGUUCCUCUCCUGCAGUGUGACUUCUGUCAAAUAGCACUGGGGUAUUGCCCUUCUCUGGGGCCAGUGGUCUGUGACACUUUCUCGAGGAGGUCUGUACCACACCAAGUACCAUUUUUGUCUUUAAACACUGAUGCUACCAACAGCAUUUGAUAUGAUGCAAGGGUUUGUUAUUUUAAGCAGAAAAUUAAUCGCCACCAGACACUGAAAACAUUCAUGGCAAGUUGCAGUACUUUGGAAAACAGAAGAAAGUGCUAUAAUUUAAAAAUAUUUUAUUUAUCUAAAGACAGUAACAGGUGGCUCUGUUCCUGAUGGAAGGUUUAAUAAUUUAUGUGAUGAAUAGCGAAUAUUUCUGAUGUUAUCCAGGUCAGUAUUUCAAUAUGAUAGUUUGUUCUGGCUGCAGAAUAUGUUGGUCUGUGCUGAUAUUUGACAGCCCUGUUGUAUAUACGAGCCACACUCUGCUCAUGCAGACACCAAAGACCACAUUUAAAUGACUGCAGUGCAUUAUAGGGGGGUUGUUAAAGGAAGAACUCGAUCACCAUUUUCCUUCUAACUGUAUGGGGUCACAUUUUAUCAUAUCUUGCAUUAUAAAACUGAACUAAGCAGAACUGAAAUUGGGUAUUGUGAUAAAGAGUGGGGAAGAAAUUUAUUUAUUUAUUUAUUUAUUUAUUUAUUUUUAACAUCACAGAAUCUAGGACCAUUUCCCUGGUGCUUUGGGCUGGACGGGCUCUCUGUUGUGGGGUGGGUGUCAUUUUAGGUAGAGGGUGGUUACAGAUAGAGCUGAUCCUCCAUCUGGGAGAAAAACUGGAUGUGAUGACCUCCUGAGAUGCAGUUUCAGGUGCAGCUUCCAAUGGCCCCAGGGCCUGGGAACCCUGGGGACAGCCUAUAGCUCUGGAGGGGCACAUCUGGAUCAGGUCAGUCCCGAAUUCAUCAGCAUUGGCUCCAGGCAGAAUAUAUUCAGGGCUCUGGAAGGGAUAUCCCUGCCUGUGCUUAUUGGUACCAGGCAACCUGCCUCAUUUUCUACUGCAUUUUAUACAGGUAUGUACUGUUUGACCAACAUAGGCUAGGGGGCUGCAUUAUAAAUGAGGAUGUCAGGAUGAAAGGAUUGCCCAGCAGUCUGGAAAGCUCUUUGAUGCGAUGUCAUUAAGAAGAGGAGAAUGACACAUGUACACUGGGAUCUUACCUUUAAGAGCUGAAGCACUAAAACGAAACAAGCAGAAAGGUGAUCCUGAAGGAAGAAAUGUGAAUUUUGAAAUGGUCAUGGAAGCAAGAAAAAAUGACAGCAGAAAAGUUUGGGAAGCAUGUGGUGUCUCUACAGAUGCAGAAAUAAAUCUCCCAAUAGCAGAGCUCAAGCAGAAAGUUCAGAGGCAGCCAUAAAACAUGCGGUGCCAUCUGGGACAACCUGGAUUUAAUGAGAAAACUGGCUGCAGAAGAGGCUUGCCAUCUCUCUCAAGCUUUCUCCUUGGACACGGCGAUAGAUUUUUCAAAAAGACAGAGCCAUGUUAGGUGUUGGAAAACAGCACUGGGACAGCUCUGUCUUUGGUAUGAAGUAAUG